GAUUUCUGGUUCGAUGCGUUUGGCCCUCUCGGAGCAAUCCGGCGUGCGUGCCGAUGCGCGUCUGCCAUCCCUUGUAGAGAACGUUUCUACCCUUCACUGGGCCGGAUUCGCAAUCUACAUCUUUUACUUUGAAAAAAUUAGAGUGUUUAAAGCAGGCUUUUGCUAUGAAUACAUUAGCAUGGAAUAAUAAUCUAGGACUUCGGUUCUAUUUUGUUGGUUUCUAUAACUGAAGUAAUGAUUGAUAGGGAUAGUUGGGGGUGCUAGUAUUGGCCGGCCAGAGGUGAAAUUCUUGGAUUCGGUCAAGACUAACUUAUGCGAAAGCAUU
rnacentral:rRNA from 2 species